rnacentral:rRNA from 1 species
UGGGGAAUAUUGGACAAUGGGCGAAAGCCUGAUCCAGCAAUACCGCGUGAGUGAUGAAGGCCUUAGGGUUGUAAAACUCUUUCAGUGGGGAAGAUAAUGACGGUACCCACAGAAGAAGCACCGGCUAACUCCGUGCCAGCAGCCGCGGUAAUACGGAGGGUGCAAGCGUUGUUCGGAAUUACUGGGCGUAAAGAGUGCGUAGGCGGCUUGGCAAGUUGGGAGUGAAAUCCCGGGGCUCAACCUCGGAAUUGCUCUCAAAACUGCUGAGCUAGAGUAUGGUAGGGGAUAGUGGAAUUCCUAGUGUAGGGGUGAAAUCCGUAGAUAUUAGGAGGAACACCAGAGGCGAAGGCGACUAUCUGGGCCAUUACUGACGCUAAGGUACGAAAGCGUGGGGAGCAAACAGG